AUUGAACGCUGGCGGCAUGCUUUACACAUGCAAGUCGAACGGCAGCACGAGUGCUUGCACUUGGUGGCGAGUGGCGAACGGGUGAGUAAUACAUCGGAACGUGUCCUAAAGUGGGGGAUAACGCAUCGAAAGAUGUGCUAAUACCGCAUAAUCUCUAAGGAGAAAAGUAGGGGAUCGAAAGACCUUAUGCUUUUGGAGCGGCCGAUGUCUGAUUAGCUAGUUGGUGGGGUAAUGGCCUACCAAGGCGACGAUCAGUAGCUGGUCUGAGAGGAUGGCCAGCCACACUGGGACUGAGACACGGCCCAGACUCCUACGGGAGGCAGCAGUGGGGAAUUUUGGACAAUGGGCGCAAGCCUGAUCCAGCAAUGCCGCGUGAGUGAAG
rnacentral:rRNA from 1 species